GGCUCGGGUGCCGGGGCCGGGGUCGGGGCCGGCUCGGGCUCGGCCUCGGACUGCGGCUCUGCGGCCGGCUCCGGGGCCGUCUCGGUCUUC
rnacentral:tRNA from 1 species